GGAGCCGAUAACCAACGUAUAUCUUUGGAAACAAAUCUAUAGUAUCUCUCUGUGCAUACUUUUCUCUCUUUUAUUUUGGUUCUGCUUCCAGAUUGUUCUUGAGAUUGAGUUUAUUGUUUGGAAUUCGUACUAGUAUAUGCGCAGGUAUGAUUUUUCUUAACACUAUGUACUUUAAUUGGUUUAUUGUUUGUUAUUUGAAAUAAGUUGAGCCCUAAUUUUGGUCUUGAUUUGAGUAAAAUCUUAAUUGGGUUUGUAAGUUGAGAUGGGUAUAAUUAAGAAUUUCGUGAGAUGAUUUAAAAUUUAAGAAGGAAUGGAAGAUUGGGCUAAUAUGGAUCUCUUGAAAUAUUCCAAGGACACGGUGGAGAAGCUUUGAGAAAAGUUCAAAUCAAAUCAGAGAACAAAGAUAGAGAGCCAUGUACACAGUUCGCAUGGGAAAACUGAGAGAUAUAACAAAAAUCUAUGUAUCCAGCCUUUUCUUGCACCAGGUUCCAACUCAUGCAUCAAUUUUUGCUACUUGGAAGUUGGAAAUAAGACGCCUAAUAAGCAAUAAAAACCCUGAAACGUACAAGUGGUCCUCAUUGCUGGCUUCUCCUCCUACCUCCUCCAUCAUUCAUGACUCCCCAUCUUUGCAUAUAUAAUUAUGUUUGUGUUCUUCGAGUAGUAGCUGCCUAGCCUAUAUAGCUAGCUAGCUCAUCAUGAGGACCACUAUCUAUGUACUUACUGUGUCAGGACGAAAAUAACAGGUUAUAUCGUUCAUUGAUAUGAUUUUGGAAUUUGGAUUCCAUUUCCAUGUCAGCGAACUUAACAAGUCAUGAUUUCUCUGAGUGACAAUGGCUACUUUGGAUUUUCCGUACACAGUACUAUGCACUGAAGUUGGAUCUUCUGUGCGAACAUGUCAAUGUUACAUUAUAGUUGACAAUUAAGUCGUAUAGGUUAGAAAUAUCCUAGCUCAUGAAUGUGCAUAUGAAUUCUUUAUCAAAUACGGAUUAAUGGGAACAUUUCAAUAGUUUGGGAAUUUUCUA